AGACCCGAAACCCGGUGAUCUAGCCAUGGGCAGGUUGAAGGUUGGGUAACACUAACUGGAGGACCGAACCGACUAAUGUUGAAAAAUUAGCGGAUGACCUGUGGCUGGGGGUGAAAGGCCAAUCAAACCGGGAGAUAGCUGGUUCUCCCCGAAAGCUAUUUAGGUAGCGCCUCGUGAAUUCAUCUCCGGGGGUAGAGCACUGUUUCGGCUAGGGGGCCAUCCCGGCUUACCAACCCGAUGCAAACUGCGAAUACCGGAGAAUGUUAUCACGGGAGACACACGGCGGGUGCUAACGUCCGUCGUGAAGAGGGAAACAACCCAGACCGCCAGCUAAGGUCCCAAAGUCAUGGUUAAGUGGGAAACGAUGUGGGAAGGCCCAGACAGCCAGGAUGUUGGCUUAGAAGCAGCCAUCAUUUAAAGAAAGCGUAAUAGCUCACUGGUCGAGUCGGCCUGCGCGGAAGAUGUAACGGGGCUAAACCAUGCACCGAAGCUGCGGCAGCGACACUGUGUGUUGUUGGGUAGGGGAGCGUUCUGUAAGCCUGUGAAGGUGGCCUGUGAGGGUUGCUGGAGGUAUCAGAAGUGCGAAUGCUGACAUAAGUAACGAUAAAGCGGGUGAAAAGCCCGCUCGCCGGAAGACCAAGGGUUCCUGUCCAACGUUAAUCGGGGCAGGGUGAGUCGACCCCUAAGGCGAGGCCGAAAGGCGUAGUCGAUGGGAAACAGGUUAAUAUUCCUGUACUUGGUGUUACUGCGAAGGGGGGACGGAGAAGGCUAUGUUGGCCGGGCGACGGUUGUCCCGGUUUAAGCGUGUAGGCUGGUUUUCCAGGCAAAUCCGGAAAAUCAAGGCUGAGGCGUGAUGACGAGGCACUACGGUGCUGAAGCAACAAAUGCCCUGCUUCCAGGAAAAGCCUCUAAGCAUCAGGUAACAUCAAAUCGUACCCCAAACCGACACAGGUGGUCAGGUAGAGAAUACCAAGGCGCUUGAGAGAACUCGGGUGAAGGAACUAGGCAAAAUGGUGCCGUAACUUCGGGAGAAGGCACGCUGACACGUAGGUGAAGUGAUUUACUCAUGGAGCUGAAGUCAGUCGAAGAUACCAGCUGGCUGCAACUGUUUAUUAAAAACACAGCACUGUGCAAACACGAAAGUGGACGUAUACGGUGUGACGCCUGCCCGGUGCCGGAAGGUUAAUUGAUGGGGUCAGCGCAAGCGAAGCUCCUGAUCGAAGCCCCGGUAAACGGCGGCCGUAACUAUAACGGUCCUAAGGUAGCGAAAUUCCUUGUCGGGUAAGUUCCGACCUGCACGAAUGGCGUAAUGAUGGCCAGGCUGUCUCCACCCGAGACUCAGUGAAAUUGAACUCGCUGUGAAGAUGCAGUGUACCCGCGGCAAGACGGAAAGACCCCGUGAACCUUUACUAUAGCUUGACACUGAACAUUGAGCCUUGAUGUGUAGGAUAGGUGGGAGGCUUUGAAGUGUGGACGCCAGUCUGCAUGGAGCCGACCUUGAAAUACCACCCUUUAAUGUUUGAUGUUCUAACGUGGACCCGUGAUCCGGGUUGCGGACAGUGUCUGGUGGGUAGUUUGACUGGGGCGGUCUCCUCCUAAAGAGUAACGGAGGAGCACGAAGGUUGGCUAAUCCUGGUCGGACAUCAGGAGGUUAGUGCAAUGGCAUAAGCCAGCUUGACUGCGAGCGUGACGGCGCGAGCAGGUGCGAAAGCAGGUCAUAGUGAUCCGGUGGUUCUGAAUGGAAGGGCCAUCGCUCAACGGAUAAAAGGUACUCCGGGGAUAACAGGCUGAUACCGCCCAAGAGUUCAUAUCGACGGCGGUGUUUGGCACCUCGAUGUCGGCUCAUCACAUCCUGGGGCUGAAGUAGGUCCCAAGGGUAUGGCUGUUCGCCAUUUAAAGUGGUACGCGAGCUGGGUUUAGAACGUCGUGAGACAGUUCGGUCCCUAUCUGCCGUGGGCGCUGGAGAACUGAGGGGGGCUGCUCCUAGUACGAGAGGACCGGAGUGGACGCAUCACUGGUGUUCGGGUUGUCAUGCCAAUGGCACUGCCCGGUAGCUAAAUGCGGAAGAGAUAAGUGCUGAAAGCAUCUAAGCACGAAACUUGCCCCGAG
rnacentral:rRNA from 1 species